rnacentral:rRNA from 1 species
AGCGAACGCUGGCGGCAGGCUUAACACAUGCAAGUCGAGCGGGCAUAGCAAUAUGUCAGCGGCAGACGGGUGAGUAACGCGUGGGAACGUACCUUUUGGUUCGGAACAACUGAGAGAAACUUCAGCUAAUACCGGAUAAGCCCUUACGGGGAAAGAUUUAUCGCCGAAAGAUCGGCCCGCGUCUGAUUAGCUAGUUGGUGAGGUAAUGGCUCACCAAGGCGACGAUCAGUAGCUGGUCUGAGAGGAUGAUCAGCCACAUUGGGACUGAGACACGGCCCAAACUCCUACGGGAGGCAGCAGUGGGGAAUAUUGGACAAUGGGCGCAAGCCUGAUCCAGCCAUGCCGCGUGAGUGAUGAAGGCCCUAGGGUUGUAAAGCUCUUUUGUGCGGGAAGAUAAUGACGGUACCGCAAGAAUAAGCCCCGGCUAACUUCGUG